CUCCCUCUCUCUUUGCCGUGAAAGCCGGAGGCGCGCCAGAGGCCUUUUGGACUCUUCAGGCCACCGUCGCUGGGUCCUCCCCGCCGCUGGGACUUCUGCGCCUGCGCACUGCUCGGGCGCCGUCCAUUUCUGUUAGGAAGGACGUCAGGUUUGAGGUAGGUGUGAAGGAGAAGAACUACCAUGACUUCAAGUGCUUUAACGAAACCUCAGAUGCGAGGCCUUCUGGCCAAGCGUCUGCGAUUUCAUAUCGUUGGAGCCUUCGCUGUAUCCCUGGGGGUUGCAGCUUUUUAUAAGUUUGCUGUGGCUGAACCAAGAAAGAAGGCAUAUGCAGAUUUCUACAGAAAUUAUGAUUCUAUGAAAGAUUUUGAGGAGAUGAAGAAGGCUGGUAUCUUUCAGAGUGCAAAGUGAAUUUGGAAUAUAAAGAAUUUCUUUGGGUUGUGUUUCAUUGAAGCUUGACUGUCCUGUGUUCCUGAGCUAUGAAACACGAACACUGGGUUAUGGAAUAGUUUCUCUUAAUAAACAACUAAAAAAUG